GACAGAGGGUGCAAACGUUGCUCGGAAUUACUGGGCGUAAAGCGCGUGUAGGUGGAUUGGUGUGUCAGAUGUGAAAGCCCUGGGCUCAACCCAGGAACUGCACCUGAAACUACCAGUCUUGAGUGGUGGAGAGGGAAGUGGAAUUCCUGGUGUAGAGGUGAAAUUCGUAGAUAUCAGGAGGAACACCAGUGGCGAAGGCGGCUUCCUGGACACUAACUGACGCUGAGACGCGAAAAGCGUGGGGGAGCAAAACAGG
rnacentral:rRNA from 1 species